CGAGGAGCCCCGAGGAGCCGCAGGGCAGGAGGCCGCCGGGCAGCACGACGUGCCGACCGAAUCCCCGCACCGCGUGGGUAGCUUCUAUUCUGCUAUUACACCAUGGAGAAGCUAUUGUCCAGUCUACCCAACGUCCACCAUGGCAGUAUCCAGCAGCAGUCAUACUGAUGUUAAGCUUUUCACUGAUUCUACUUGAAUUAGCUACAGUCAAUGCUUUAACCACACACCUCUAGGAGAACAUGCCAGCUCUGGAAGAAUUCCUGUAACUUUGUGUAAGGAAAAGAAAAAAAAAGAUGUGGAAAUAGGCUCAAGUGUUCCCCAGAAGCGGAUAGAAAUGAGCAUGUAAUGGCUGAAAAUAAACAAUUAGAAGUUA